CGCAAAAGUGAGGAGAAACGGAGAAAAGGAAAUCCAGCACUCCAACAUGAUGAAAGUAGUGAUCGCUCUUGUUUUGGCUAUGGCUGCCGUUGCAUGCGCCUCGGUCAUACCAUACAGAUAUGGAGAUGGAGUGAGCGCCAGACAUUUCUACAAAGGAGAGGUUCCCUACGGAAUUUAUGGUCUCGGAUAUAAUGGAUACUAUGGUGCCUACGCACCUUAUUACGGAUAUGAUGGACUCGGUUACGGAUAUGGACCCUAUGGAUACUUUGGAAGAUAUGGCACCGGCUAUCUCGGAUAUGGAAGAUACUUUUGAGAUCUUAGUUACAUCGAAGUUCACUUUUAAGUGAAUUUAAUCAAUAUUUGAACUGCAAAUUUCUGAAUUGGGAAAAUCCUUCUGAAAAAAAUUUCUGAAUUACCAAAAACGAAAUUUUUUUAGAAAAAUGAAGCAAAAAUUUACUGAAGAAGAAUGAAGAUUUAUUAUUGUCAAAAAAUAAAGAAAUGCUGUUUAUCGAA